rfam:Streptomyces aureofaciens strain ATCC 10762 contig_16, whole genome shotgun sequence.
GGGGCAUUAGCUCAGUUGGUAGAGCGCUGCCUUUGCAAGGCAGAUGUCAGGAGUUCGAGUCUCCUAUGCUCCA